UUUGUUUUUUUUUUUUUUUUUUCCAAACUGGCACUUGUUUCAUUGCUAUGUACGGUACGUGAUUUUAUUACGGAAGCAAAGUUCUUUGUCGCCAUUACAACAUUAAAAUUGUUUACAUGCCCAUGUUGUAAGGUCCUAAUCAUCACUCAUUUUGCUUUUUCAUCUUUCCUGAUAGAUGCUAGAAAUUCGGGGGUUCAAAAAAGAAGUACACAUCAAGGAGUUAGGCUGCGCAGCAGUUAGAGACUGUUAGUUUUGGCAGACGACUCGGGGACGUCCUUCCAGUCCUCCAGUUUAAGGGUUUUCCUUGAAUAAUAACAUUAAAAAGAAUCAUGGAAUCACCAUGCGAGUUUUUCAUUCGCUUAUUCAACGAUGCUGGUGCAGUCAUUGUAGGCAGUUAAUUUAUCAUACAAUUAGUGCUAUAUUUGAAUCAACUGAACAAAUCAUUUAUUUUACUUUCAAUAAAUAUAUAUAUAGAACUUGUAUGUAAAAAUGAAUUCUACAACUUCUUUGGUAAUAUCAUAUUCUAGAGUUAAGAAUUUUAUUAGUUAAUUCUAAAGGUUGUAUCAAAGUCUCUUCAUUCAAACUUUUGACCACAGUAAGCGAGUGACAGAGCCAUUCGGCUAUAGCAAUCAGAUGUUCGCUACCGCAGAAUUGCAUUUCAUGGAUGAAGUGGAAACAUAACAGGAUAGAAGUCCUAAAGGUUGCAUACCCUGCUUAUCAUACUCAUGGAAUUGGUUUUUUCCAUUUGCAUGUCUUGUU
rnacentral:misc_RNA from 1 species